GAUGAACGCUGGCGGCGUGCCUAAUACAUGCAAGUCGAGCGAACGGACGAGCAUCUUGCUUCUCUCAUGUUAGCGGCGGAUGGGUGAGUAACCCGUGGAUACCCUACCUAUAAGGCUGGGCUAACUUAGGGAAACCGGAGCUAACACACGAUGAUAUUUUGAACCGCAUGGGUCAAAAGUGAAAGACGGUCUUGCUGUCCCUUAUACGUGGAUCCUCGCUGCAUUAGCUAGUUGGUAAGGUAACGGCUUACCAAGGCAACGAUGCAUAGCCGACCUGAGAGGGUGAUCGGCCACACUGGAACUGAGACACGGUCCAGACUCCUACGGGAGGCAGCAGUAGGGAAUCUUCCGCAAUGGGCGAAAGCCUGACGGAGCAACGCCGCGUGAGUGAUGAAGGUCUUCGGAUCGUAAAACUCUGUUAUUAGGGAAGAACAUAUGUGUAAGUAACUGUGCACAUCUUGACGGUACCUAAUCAGAAAGCCACGGCUAACUACGUG
rnacentral:rRNA from 1 species